UGGGGAAUAUUGGACAAUGGGCGAAAGCCUGAUCCAGCCAUGCCGCGUGUGUGAAGAAGGUCUUCGGAUUGUAAAGCACUUUAGGUUGGGAGGAAGGGCAUUAACCUAAUACGUUAGUGUUUUGACGUUACCGACAGAAUAAGCACCGGCUAACUCUGUGCCAGCAGCCGCGGUAAUACAGAGGGUGCAAGCGUUAAUCGGCAUUACUGGGCGUAAAGCGCGCGUAGGUGGUUUGUUAAGUUGGAUGUGAAAUCCCCGGGCUCAACCUGGGAACUGCAUUCAAAACUGACUGACUAGAGUAUGGUAGAGGGUGGUGGAAUUUCCUGUGUAGCGGUGAAAUGCGUAGAUAUAGGAAGGAACACCAGUGGCGAAGGCGACCACCUGGACUAAUACUGACACUGAGGUGCGAAAGCGUGGGGAGCAAACA
rnacentral:rRNA from 1 species